rnacentral:lncRNA from 1 species
CAGCUGGGUCACUGACUGACUAAAAGCUAUACAGUGUGGCAGAUAAAUUCUGAGAAACAGAGGCUCACAGAAUCUAGAACUACAGUUCCAGAAUGACAGUUACAUAAUACACUGUAGUAAUUUCAAUAAAGAGAAAUUAUAGCUAAAUAAACAAGAUAUUUUAAGUUAUUAUUUUGUUUUUCUCCAAAAGGUCGUUACUGAAGAAAAACUAAUUUCUUGAACAUGUUUUCCUAUCUUCUGUCACAGUGACACUGAAGCAGAAAAGGUUCUAUAGAGUGACUGAAGAAUUCAGAGUAAAUGAUGCAUAUGGAAUCAAACAAAAAGAUAAGUACCUGGGAUUACAUUCUCAUAG